CCUACGGGAGGCUGCAGUGAGGAAUAUUGGUCAAUGGGCGCAAGCCUGAACCAGCCAUGCCGCGUGCAGGAAGAAGCAUCUAUGGUGUGUAAACUGCUUUUGUACGGGAAGAAACACUCCCUCGUGAGGGAGCUUGACGGUACCGUAAGAAUAAGGAUCGGCUAACUCCGUGCCAGCAGCCGCGGUAAUACGGAGGAUCCAAGCGUUAUCCGGAAUCAUUGGGUUUAAAGGGUCCGUAGGCGGUUUAAUAAGUCAGUGGUGAAAGCCCAUCGCUCAACGAUGGAACGGCCAUUGAUACUGUUAGACUUGAAUUACAAGGAAGUAACUAGAAUAUGUAGUGUAGCGGUGAAAUGCUUAGAUAUUACAUGGAAUACCAAUUGCGAAGGCAGGUUACUACUUGUGGAUUGACGCUGAUGGACGAAAGCGUGGGGAGCGAACAGGAUUAGAUACCCUGGUAGUC
rnacentral:rRNA from 1 species